rnacentral:tRNA from 1 species
GCCUGGGUUGCUCAGUCGGUUAAGCGUCUGACUUCGGCUCAGGUCACGAUCUCACGGUUCGUGGGUUCGAGCCCCGCAUUGGGCU